CUUAGGGGUCCUGAGACAUAUCGGGGGACCCUCAGCCCCCGAUAGAACAGAUCCCAGCUUGAAGCAAGUGUCUGGGGACUCCUAGCUCUAACUCUCCCUCUCCACUGGACGAGCUCCAUGAGGCUGUGUUGUGGAAGGAGUAGGACUCGGUGGAACAGGAAUGCAUUCUGGCCAGUCUGAGAAUCGCUAGAAUGUGCCAAGCUCAGAUUCAGAUGCCAGUGACCGAAGAUCUGUGGGUGUAACCACAACGAGGGCUGGGCACAUGGAGGAGAGACUGGAGCUGCUCUCUCGGAGUUUCUGCUUGGGCCACUGCUUCCUCAUCCUGGCAAGGUAGGGCCAGGCACGGGGGACAGAGUCCUGCUUCCAUCCUGCUUUCCCCUCGGCUUUGGGUGAGCUCUAAUGACUUGGGAGUGAAUCAGCACAGACUGAGAUGAUACGAUAGGGAAGAAAGGAGACGACAGCACCGAGGCUGGAAAUGUCACCUCUCCCAGGACCAGCCUCAGGAAACACACUCGGGGUCUGGACAGUGCUGGAGGCGAAUGGACACCUGCCCGGCCCGGCCACAUCUUCUGCACGUGCUCACGGCUCCUGUCUUCACAUCCCACAGGCACGUAGACCACCGGCCUUGCUCACUGUCCACUGAGACCAGUAGUCACUGUCGAGCCCUCGUGAAAACUUGUUAGCUUUUUCCAAGAGAGACACAGCCUCAAAGGCACCCGAGAAGAGAGAGCACAGAAACACUUGCACUGAUCAUUUAGUCAUUUCUUCAUUUAACAUGCGUGUUUUGAGCAACUGCGGGGUGCUGUGCACUGAGCCGCCACAGUGGGGGCACAGCGGUGAACAAGACAGGCCCAUGGGAGAGACACAGGGUCUGAGGACAGGGCCAGGUCUCUUCCCCGACCUCCUUGCCAGGGCCA
rnacentral:lncRNA from 1 species